AAUAGAUACCCGGGUAGUCCACCCCGUAAACGUUGGGAACUAGUUGUGGGGUCCUUUCCACGGAUUCCGUGACGCAGCUAACGCAUUAAGUUCCCCGCCUGGGGAGUACGGCCGCAAGGCUAAAACUCAAAGGAAUUGACGGGGACCCGCACAAGCGGCGGAGCAUGCGGAUUAAUUCGAUGCAACGCGAAGAACCUUACCAAGGCUUGACAGUACACCGAGAACACCCUAGAAAUAGGGGACUCUUUGGACACUGGUGAACAGGUGGUGCAUGGUUGUCGUCAGCUCGUGUCGUGAGAUGUUGGGUUAAGUCCCGCAACGAGCGCAACCCUCGUUCUAUGUUGCCAGCACGUAAUGGUGGGAACUCAUGGGAUACUGCCGGGGUCAACUCGGAGGAAGGUGGGGAUGACGUCAAAUCAUCAUGCCCCUUAUGUCUUGGGCUUCACGCAUGCUACAAUGGCCGGUACAAAGGGCUGCAAUACCGUGAGGUGGAGCGAAUCCCAAAAAGCCGGUCCCAGUUCGGAUUGAGGUCUGCAACUCGACCUCA
rnacentral:rRNA from 1 species